AUGAACGGCCUGUCUAGAGAUGACAAAGACCGUCGCUGGGGCUGUGCGACAGGGAGGGACAGAGGAGACGCAAGGCCAGAACGAGAGGACCAGGUGGUGGCUGGCUGGGGCUGGCGAGGACGAGGGUUGGGACUCCGUGUCGCAGACACUGUCUGGGCCCCAGGCCCCUGGCUCUUCUCUGGCAACUGCCCCCUUGCGUCAGAAGCCACAUCUUACUCAAAAACUGCAGCAAGGGGCAGCAAGGGGCAGCAAGGGGCAGCAGGGUGCGUUUCCAUUGCCACGUCAGGCAGGGAUGAGUUUUGGAGUGGCUGGCUUGGAGAGCUCAGGCUGUGGCUAUCACCUCCUGGGUUCCACAAGCUGAAAUGGAGAGGCAGCUCACCAGGGUGCAGUGCCCGGGGAAGCCCCAGGUGCUGUGAACGGUGGCCUCAGGUUUCUUAGCCUCUCAGGUCACCCUUGGGCCCAAGAGCCAAUUCUCCACCCAAUGCUGGUAGAGACAAAAGCAAGGCCUCUGAAGAUUGGGGACGGGCAGCAGCAGCACCCUGGUACAGCACUGCAGGGGUACUCGGCUUUGCCUCACUCCUGGCAGGAUGCUCCGACCAAGACACCUGCACCUCUCGGGUGAUAUCGGGGUUAUGUGCCGAAGUCCUGUGGAGGGCAAAGUCACCUCAGCUAUGAAGGCUGCUGGCUUCCACAUCCUUGCUGGGGUGAGGCAGGAAGCCCAAUAUUUGAUCUGAUGCCAUCUUGAGAACAUGGCCUGGUCUCCCCACCAAGUUGGAGGUCAGAGGGAUCGUGUAGACCAUUUGGAGGAUUCUUUUCAUCUUCGUCUAGAGAAACGUCGGAAUUAGGAUCGCUAUCUCCUUGAAUUACUGUCUCUCCAUUUUUUCAGCUCUCUUCCAUAAUCAUUAAAUUGUUUUUAUUUUAUUCCUCUUGAAUCACUUUAAAACUUUAUUUUUACAAUGUUUUAAUCCUUUUUAAUGGCAUGUCCGUUGUUCGUAACCUCAGGCUGUGCUACUUCAUCUUGCCUUUCUAAAUUUAAAAGCAUUUUCAGUUGUUUGUUUAUUUUUUUCAUUGCUUUGAAAAUUAAUUUUGUAAACUUCAGGACUUGUAUCUUUUCAAUUUAUUUUUACUGGUAUUAGUUUAUUUUCUUUAAAGACUUUUUAGUUUAUCAGAAGACAGACACUUGGAACAGCACAUGGGGACCAGCUGUGAGGCCUCUAUGUGUCUCUUUGAUCCAGCACAGACAGCCCUUCUGAAACUCUGUGAGGGGCCAGUGACAAGUCUCGACUGGACACCGUCACAGCAGAGCUCCUAUGGAUUUUGGAACCUAUCCACAUCCCCUUGAGCACAUAAGGGCUCUUCUUUUGGGGACAGCUUCUAUUAUGUCAGUGAGCAUGAGGUGGCCAGCCACGAGCCAGAGGGUACCCUGCCAACAUGCCAC
rnacentral:lncRNA from 12 species